rnacentral:rRNA from 1 species
GAUGAACGCUGGCGGCGUGCCUAAUGCAUGCAAGUCGAACGAAACUUCUUUAUCACCGAGUGCUUGCACUCACCGAUAAAGAGUUGAGUGGCGAACGGGUGAGUAACACGUGGGCAACCUGCCCAAAAGAGGGGGAUAACACUUGGAAACAGGUGCUAAUACCGCAUAACCAUAGUUACCGCAUGGUAACUAUGUAAAAGGUGGCUAUACUACCGCUUUUGGAUGGGCCCGCGGCGCAUUAGCUAGUUGGUAGGGUAAAGGCUUACCAAGGCAAUGAUGCGUAGCCGAAUUGAGAGGUUGAUCGGCCACAUUGGGACUGAGACACGGCCCAAACUCCUACGGGAGGCAGCAGUAGGGAAUCUUCCACAAUGGGCGAAAGCCUGAUGGAGCAACGCCGCGUGGGUGAAGAAGGUCUUCGGAUCGUAAAACCCUGUUGUUAGAGAAGAAAGUGCGUGAGAGUAACUGUUCACGUUUCGACGGUAUCUAACCAGAAAGCCACGGCUAACUACGUG